rnacentral:rRNA from 1 species
UACACAUGCAGUCGAGGGGUAUAGUUCUUCGGAACUAGAGACCGGCGCACGGGUGCGUAACGCGUAUGCAAUCUACCUUUCACAGAGGGAUAGCCCAGAGAAAUUUGGAUUAAUACCUCAUAGUAUAAUGAGUUGGCAUCAACACAUUAUUAAAGUCACAACGGUGAAAGAUGAGCAUGCGUCCCAUUAGCUAGAUGGUAAGGUAACGGCUUACCAUGGCUACGAUGGGUAGGGGUCCUGAGAGGGAGAUCCCCCACACUGGUACUGAGACACGGACCAGACUCCUACGGGAGGCAGCAGUGAGGAAUAUUGGACAAUGGGCGCAAGCCUGAUCCAGCCAUGCCGCGUGCAGGAUGACGGUCCUAUGGAUUGUAAACUGCUUUUGUACAGGAAGAAACACUGGUUCGUGAACCAGCUUGACGGUACUGUAAGAAUAAGGAUCGGCUAACUCCGUGCCAGCAGCCGCGGUAAUACGGAGGAUCCAAGCGUUAUCCGGAAUCAUUGGGUUUAAAGGGUCCGUAGGCGGUUUAGUAAGUCAGUGGUGAAAGCCCAUCGCUCAACGGUGGAACGGCCAUUGAUACUGCUAAACUUGAAUUAUUAGGAAGUAACUAGAAUAUGUAGUGUAGCGGUGAAAUGCUUAGAGAUUACAUGGAAUACCAAUUGCGAAGGCAGGUUACUACUAAUGGAUUGACGCUGAUGGACGAAAGCGUGGGUAGCGAACAGGAUUAGAUACCCUGGUAGUCCACGCCGU